rnacentral:rRNA from 1 species
GAUGAACGCUAGCUACAGGCUUAACACAUGCAAGUCGAGGGGAAACGACAUUGAAAGCUUGCUUUUGAUGGGCGUCGACCGGCGCACGGGUGAGUAACGCGUAUCCAACCUGCCCACCACUUGGGGAUAACCUUGCGAAAGUAAGACUAAUACCCAAUGAUAUCCCUAGAAGACAUCUGAACGGGAUUAAAGAUUUAUCGGUGAUGGAUGGGGAUGAGUCUGAUUAGCUUGUUGGCGGGGUAACGGCCAACCAAGGCGACGAUCAGUAGGGGUUCUGAGAGGAAGGUCCCCCACAUUGGAACUGAGACACGGUCCAAACUCCUACGGGAGGCAGCAGUGAGGAAUAUUGGUCAAUGGACGAGAGUCUGAACCAGCCAAGUAGCGUGCAGGAUGACGGCCCUAUGGGUUGUAAACUGCUUUUAUAAGGGAAUAAAGUGAGAGUCGUGACUCUUUUUGCAUGUACCUUAUGAAUAAGGACCGGCUAACUCCGUGCCAGCCGCCGCCGUAA